CCUACGGGAGGCAGCAGUGAGGAAUAUUGGUCAAUGGACGAGAGUCUGAACCAGCCAAGUAGCGUGAAGGAUGACUGCCCUAUGGGUUGUAAACUUCUUUUAUAUGGGAAUAAAACGUUCCACGUGUGGGAUUUUGUAUGUACCAUAUGAAUAAGGAUCGGCUAACUCCGUGCCAGCAGCCGCGGUAAUACGGAGGAUCCGAGCGUUAUCCGGAUUUAUUUGGUUUAAAGGGAGCGUAGGUGGAUUGUUAAGUCAGUUGUGAAAGUUUGCGGCUCAACCGUAAAAUUGCAGUUGAAACUGGCAGUCUUGAGCACAGUAGAGGUGUGCGGAAUGCGUGGUGUAGCGGUGAAAUGCAUAGAUAUCACGAAGAACUCCGAUUGCGAAGGCAGCUCACUGGACUGCAACUGACACUGAGGCACGAAAGUGUGGGUAUCAAACAGGAUUAGAUACCCCUGUAGUC
rnacentral:rRNA from 1 species